rnacentral:misc_RNA from 1 species
UUUUUUUGUUAUCUUUGGUUGUGUUGAGAAAUUGUAGGGAAGUAGCAGGAAAGUCGAAUUGAAACAAUUGUUGUGAUACUGAAUCUUUGACUCUCUAUUGUCUGCGCUACUGAUUAGCCAACUGAAGGAUUUGGCAUUUAGGGUUUUAAUUUGGAGGAAGUUCUUGAUUUUUUCUCUUGAUGAAACUGAGAAAAUUUAAAGGAAACUUGAAAUCUAGCGUAUGAUUAUGGAUGAAAUGAUAAUUGGAAAAUUCAAUUAUAACUAACUACAGAGGAUGUCUUCAUGUACAGGAUUUUCG